UACGGGGGGGGCAAGCGUUGUUCGGAAUUACUGGGCGUAAAGGGCUCGUAGGCGGCCAACUAAGUCAGACGUGAAAUCCCUCGGCUUAACCGGGGAACUGCAUCUGAUACUGGAUGGCUUGAGUUCGGGAGAGGGAUGCGGAAUUCCAGGUGUAGCGGUGAAAUGCGUAGAUAUCUGGAGGAACACCGGUGGCGAAGGCUGCAUCCUGGACCGACACUGACGCUGAGGAGCGAAAGCCAGGGGAGCAAACGGG
rnacentral:rRNA from 1 species